UCCUACAGCGAAUCUAUGAAAUUAGUAAAAUUUACAGAUUGUUAGCUCCUUUCGACUUUUUUUAAAAUCUGCGAUAUGGUAAGUAUUAAAAUUGGACCGCGUUAAACAGAAAGGAACCAAGCCACAUCAGCUAUUGCCUUUAACUGGGCAAUUUAAUUUUUUACAUGAAAACGCUUGUGCAGAUUUUCAUGUAAAUUUCAGAGAAUUUUCUCCACAGUGCGAAGCGAAUUCCUUAAAAUUUUCAAAAAAAUCCGCACAAACGUUUCCUCGUAAAAAAUUAAAGUGCCCGCUUAAAUUUGGCAAUAGCUGAUGCGGCUUGGUUCCUUUCUGUUAAACGCGGUCCAAUUAGUUGUCGAUGUACAUUUUGACCGGGAUAUUUCUAUGUUUGAAAUGUAUAUUACGUUUUGUAAUGAGUUUCAUAAAUAUUUUUUGGUGUUUCAGAGACUGGAUAGUUUUCGGGACUCCAUAUGAAUCGAUUGAACUUUGGCUGAGAUUGCCCACGAAACAAUGGACGGGCCUUUAGGAUGGGUGCCCGAUGUGCAGCUCAAACAAGAGGUCGUGUCUGACGAAUCCACGGAAUAUGAAGAAUAUCGAACAGAUUUUAGACAAGAUACCAAGCUCCAUGUCAAAUCAGAAUUUCUUCAAAAGCAGCCAGUUGUGUUCCCAGAGGAACUCGAUCGCACAUUGGUCAACAAUGGAACCGGCUACACUGGCGACCUGCAAAACUCACCGGUGCCUUUUCAAGAACCUUAUACUGAUUAUCAAGAAGAACCUGACAUCGAUUUCAAGGACAACCUAGCAGAGUCUGCUCCUUUUGAACGGAAAUACGUGACUUCGUCACUGCUGUCGCGUAUAAAAGUAGAAGAAGCACAGGAAAAUGAAAAACCGCUCUCAGAACUCGUCAGCAAGAGCGCCGUCCUUCGUUUGGUCCGGAAUCAAGAAUCGGACGUCGGAUCAUCGACGAACGAGCCGUCCGACUCAAGACCGGAAAUCGAGCGUCAGGACGAAACCGCCACAGGCAAAUCUGAGGAAGACGGUACUUAUCAAAUAAUCAGCGGUCGAAAUUUGAACGGACAGAAAAAUCCGUUUGUCCUGCUGGAAAGACUCGAUCCAGUGUUCGUGCACUAUCAUUUGAAAACACCGGAUUCUGCCGCGAGUUCAAGUCGUUCUGCCCCGUCCUUGUUCCAGGUGAAAACGGAGGGAGGAUCAGGUGUAGAUCAUGGAUCUGUCCACAAUCAUAUCCCAGAAAACGAAGGAAUCAACAAAUGUCUGUAAGCUUCCCAGAAUUGUCGUUACAAAUAGAACAAAAAGUGUCCAAAAUGAAGGCCGUAGAAACCUUCACUUCAACUAACGAUACAAACAAGCUUCAUCAUAAAACUACAAAUAAAUCUGCCUCUAGGAACAGUCCCAAUCCUCCCAUAUUAC
rnacentral:lncRNA from 1 species